UUUAAAUAUUUUAUUUAAUUAUUCCUAUCAGCCUAUGAGUAUAUUUCUAUAUUUUUAUACAAUUUUUAUUCCUGUUUUACAAACAGAGAAACUGAGAUGGAGAGGUCAUCAGCCCAAAGUCAUAGUGUGAAUGGUGGAGCCAGGAUUUAUGCUCAGGCAGUGUAACUUCAUAGCCUUUGGUCUUAGCCACAAUGCUACUCUGCUUCCCAAUAAAUAUUUAGUCAAAGUUUAUUCAUCAGUAUAGAAUGAUGACAUUAUUUAUUAUUUAUUGACUGCAUAAACCCAAAUUAUCAAACACUUUUUCAACAUUCUCUCAAAGAAGUAAAUUCAAUAUAUCUAACUUGAAAUUUAGGAGCAUUAAAAAAUUAGGAAAACUAUUUUAUAGAACCAGAGUUUUUCAUGGGGACAGGUGCUAGGGUUCUCUGCUCCAGAAUUCUGAUGCUUAAAAUGUUGCAUAUUUGUUUUAGAUGGAAAAAGAGGGUGCUGGCAGAAGGAUCCCUGGUUGGGCAGCGACAUGCCAGUGUGUCCAGAGGAGUUCCCUGCCUGCCAGGAAUCUCAGCAGACACAGUGAUGUGAAGGAGCAAGACAAAAUGCCAGAUGGGGUAACACAUAGAAAAGGCACGGAGAAGUUAAGUGAUUUGCCUGUGGUCACAAAGCCUGUUAGCAGCAAACCCAGAACAAGAACCUAAGAUUUAUGACCGCCAGUUCCAGCUGUUUUUCUUCGUCAUGUAUCCUCAGCAAUCAACAUAAUCAAAAUCUGUUUGGAGACUACUGAUUUGUAUAAAGGAAGAUAACACCGAACAACCAAACAGGAAGUAAUCCAGCGAAUCUGGAACAGCGGUGGAAUUUAGAAGCAAGGCCAGAUGAGGACCCUAAGACCUAGAGAAACUAAGUCAUUUGCUCAAGAAGACAAAGGUAAUCAUCAGAAAUCAACAUGAGAUUUCAGCUCUCCUGAUCCUUAGUACAACAUGUGAAAGAAGAUAUGUUGUCUUUACUCACAGUGGAGGCAUUUUUCUAGCUGUGUUUGAUUUGGCUUCCCUAUAGAUUCAGGACCCAUAACUCUUGUUCUCACUCAUCUGCUAUGCUGCUGAUAAGGACUUUCAGGUCAACAGCUGUAACUGCUAAAUGAAGUUAAUACUCUGGAAAAAAAAAAAAAAAAAAAACCAGAAGGAACAGAGACCAAAAGAUUGAAAGCCAUUUGGAAAUUUCUUGAGUGGUGUCUGGCAGGUCUUUUAUGAAGAUUAUCAUAAACCAGGAAAAAAAAAAAAAACGCCUGCUGACUGUGUUAUCUGUAGUGCCUAUUGCCUAUUUUGGCUGAUUCAUUGAUGGUGUAACAGAUAACAGAAUGAAAGGAAAUGGUUUGGUUUCUAUAAAGGAAAAAGAAUGGUUUGUAUAAGGAAACCAUUAGUUUCCUGAGAUUGCUAUACCAAAUUAUCAAAACUUGGUGUCUUAAAACAAUAGAAAUUUUUUCUCCCACAGUUCUGGAGGCCAGAAACUCAAAAUCAGUAUUUGGCGGCUGAAAUCAAGGUGUUGGCAGCACCCUCUGGAGGCUCUCGGACAGAAUCUGUCCCUUGUGUCUAACAGAUUCUGCUGGCUGCUGGCAUUCCUUGACUUGUGGUCGUAUCAUUCCCAUCUCCUCCUCCAUAGUCAUAACGCUUUCUCCUCUUCUCUGGCAUUUGCAUCCCUUUUAUAAGACACGUAUGACUGCAUUUAGGGCUCACCAGGAUAAUGCAGGAUAAUCUUCCUAUUUCAGGAUCCUUUGCCACAUCUUCAAAGUCCUUUUUGGCCAAUAAAGUAAUAUUCACAGGCUCCAGGUUUUAGGAUGUGGGUAGUGGUGUUGGGGUGGGGGGCAGAUUUGGGGGUGAACAACCAGCCUACUACUGGUGGGUGACUGGUUAUCCAUCAUUCUUAAGUCAGAAAUGAUGACCCAAAAUCUCUUUUUGCUUUUGCUUCACUCAUUUUGCAUUUAAUUACUAGGCUCUGCUUCUUCAGACACUUUUAUUACAGUUUAGUUUUUGCUACAUCCCUCAAAAAUGUCUUAUUAUUUUCACGGCCUGUCAUUUAGUUAUGUUUUCUUCUAAGUGUUUGGCUGUCUUGGUCAGUGCUCUAAAGGAAUUAAAAUCACUUGGUCAGGGCUCUGAAGUAAUUGGUCAGUGCUCUGAAGUAAUUAAAAUCACUGUGAAGCUGAAUGAAAAAUCAGAAGAAGAAUCAAGAGACCUAUGUUUUGCUUGUUAGGAGAACUGUGUAUCCUUUAUGUCUAUUUUUGGAGUUGGUGGUAAUUUCUGGUCAAGGAAUCAAAUGUUCUUAUUCCUAACCAUAUAGUCAGAUAAGAUGGCUAAGGUGCUUUCAUAAUCACCAUUGAUUCACUGUCAGAUGGGCCCGUGCUCUGUGACAACUUUUCAAUAUUAUAGACUUUACCAAAUAAAAAGGUAUCUCCUCAUUCUGUGCACAGAAAAAGAAAAUGAUGGAUGAGUAUAUUAGCCAGAACCCUGUCGCAGAAAAAUAAGCAUGAGUGUGCCCUUUCAUGCCUCCUGAGAACUCCUGUGCUAGACAGAGCCUGUUCAAGAUGUCUUUUCUGACUUUCUGAUUCCAGUUGACAUCUAGGCAUAUAAGGCAACUUUGUGAUGGGGCCAGAGAGCACCACACAUUGUUGUGUAUGAAAUACUCUAUUCAGCAAACAAGCCGUGCAGCAACAAGACCUAGUGUGGUCAAGGAUGGUGGACUAAAAACCACUAUGAAAGCAGAGAUGUAGCCACCUCUGAGACUGGUUUUCUAAGCAGGAUGACUUGGUUCCAUCCCUACAGGCAUCGUCUGGUCCAGUUCAGCACAGAGCUAGCUGCAAGUGACAACCUAAGAGAAAAGUCAGCGAGAACAAAGAUCCAUCUCUUCGUUGACUGCCUUAAUCCCUAGAGCUGUGUUCUUCAAUUUGUUACUAUUUGCUACAAUUUUUCUGCCUAACAAGCAAGUUCUAUCCUGCCUAGGAGAGAAACUUUUAGUAAAUUCAUCUUCAUUCACUACUAUUCAGCUCAUGCUGUAAAAACUUAGAUAAUGCUGUCUGAAAUACUUAACUCCUGGUCAAAUGCAGCUGCUAUUUCAUUCAGUAUAAUCAAAGAAUAGCCAAGGACUUUAGUUAAUAUUUCUUCAGAUGAUAGAGAAUAAACAAAUUGUUUUGGAUAUAUCUACCAUGCCCUCCAAACAUGAUUGUUGAUAUCUUUUCUAUAUAAAUUACUUUCCUACAUAAAUGGUACUUAGCUUUUCCUUGAAAGAUAUGCUCUUCUCUCCAGCUCAAAGAUAACCCUCUUUCCCUCAAAUUAUAAGUAAUUUAUAUUUAAUAAUCUUUCAUACGAAUUUUUAAAAUUACAAAUGGUAAGGUACCACUAUUUUUUAUUUUGUAACAGCACAAACCAUCAAAUCAGAAAAAAAGAAAGGUUGAGUAUGAUCUCUGAAAAAUGAAUUCUAGUAGCAUGUAUAGCAAAAAUCAUCUUAGAAUGAAUAGAAGCCCUGAAUAACUCAAUGACCACCAGGCUUGUCUGCAUCCACGUUCUACUUGGUUAACUGUUAAAUAAUAUCUAACUUGUUGCAUUGUAAAAACAACAUGUGUCUGUAAACUGAAAAAUAGAUGUUAUUAUCCACCUGGUUUAGUCAUAAUGGAGAAAUGUCCUUCAGUUGCAUGAUGCUCUUCCUAUGAAUGAGGAAACCAGAUCAACAUUUCCAUUCAAGUUCUAGCUUGCCUAUAACAUUUCUUAGCUCCUUUUGCAAACCAAAAGUGGCAGCAGUUGUAACUGAAUUAGUCUAACUGCUCAGACACAUGCAUUUCUGUUUGGUUGCUCUGGUCUCUUCUUGAAGGCCAAGUGCUGUGAUCAUUUAUCAUCAUCAGAAUUGGCUGCCAUAACUCAGUGUUCCCGGGACCUGCAGUGGGCAGAGCACCAGCACAACCCGUAGAAAGCAGCUCCAAGAUCAGCACCCUCUCAUAAACCUACCGAGCCAGGAGCAUCUUCCAGGCCCUCCACUCUCAGGAGUUUCAAGGAGAAAACAAAAUGCUGAGGACUGGGAAUGAGAAGCUUCAACCUUGCACAAUCUCUACAUUUUGCUUUACUCCCAAGAGGGACGAAUGAAGAAUGUUGUUAUUGAUGCUAUGACCACUUCUCUCCCAUAUUGUGCCCAGUAAACAUGGUCUUACUCAUUAUUGAAA
rnacentral:lncRNA from 1 species